ACGACAUUCAGACCGUCGGUCUACCGAGCAAUAUCACCCACUCGGUGGAAGAUCUUUUCCUCCUUCAU
rnacentral:pre_miRNA from 1 species